AUGUUUGAUGUGCCAGAAAAAUUUAAGGUGAUGACACAAAUUGUAGAGACAAUCAAGAGGACAACUGCCGAUCAGAAGAGAUUAUGUGGGUAUGCUCCACACAUCCAGAUGCUCAUAAAUUCCAAGAUGGGCAAAGGCUUAUAUCUGCUGGACAAAGAGCACCUUCCCCUGAGGCCAGAUUUUGAAGACAACACAGUUCUCAUGGAUGCUACAAAUCCUACUUCAAUAGAGGCUCAGGAGAAGAGAGAGACAGUAAAAGCAAAGAAGGAAGCUAAGAUGCCAAGUGCAGAAGAAGCUUCACAAGUCUUUCUGAAGUCAAAGCAAGAUCAACUUGGCUAUCUUAUUCAAGCCACUUUGAGGAUUGAGAAAGGAUUGGCCACCCUGACUCAGAAUCAAGAGAGCCUUGAGAGAAUCUUAGAGACCAAACUUCAUGACUUGGAUGUCAAAGUGACUGAGAUUCAGACUUCUGUGGAGAAGAUCCAAGAAGAGCUUGAGGACAAGAGUGACAAGACUACCACAUAUGCAUAUCAAAGGGUGCCUAGAAGGCAGAGGUUUGCAGCAGUGCCAGUGGCAGACACUAUAGCCACAACUUCUGCCCCUGCAGCCACAGCCUCAGUUGCCCCUCCAGUUGCAACUCCACCGGCUCCUUCAACCUCUUCAGAUGCAUUUGUUGUAGGACUCCUCUCCACGCCUCCUCCCGAAGAUCAAGCUUAG
rnacentral:rRNA from 1 species